rnacentral:tRNA from 1 species
AGGAUAUUAGUUAAUUUUAAAAUAACAUUUAAUUUGCAAUUAAAAAUUAUGCACCCCAAUCACAUAUAUCUUA